rnacentral:lncRNA from 10 species
UCUGUAAAGAUUGUUACAGACCCACAAUCUUUGAUGUCUGAUGCAUUUUUUUUUCUCUCUGUGCAGUGCCUUAAAAAAUCAAGGGUUUGAAAUCAUUGAGAGGGGUGAAAUCGAAGUGAAAGGUAAAGGGAAAAUGACCACAUACUUUUUGAUCCAGAACUUGAAUGCCACAGAGGACGAGAUCAUGGGGAGAUCUAAAACCCCACUUGAUCACAAGGAAGCAAGUGCUCAGGGAAAUCAAGACAGGAGAACGGUCAUGAGCUAUGCCGACAGUCAGCAGCUGAUCCCCAACAGAGACACAGCAGACGCAGACGGUGAGUACAGCAGGCCUGGUCUAAAAUACUU